UAAAUCCUACACUUUCUCCACCUUCUUCAAAGUCUUGUUCCAGCUGAUCCUUGCUCCCUUGGAUAUACUCUUGCAGCAGUUGAUAUCGCUUCAGCUCGUAUCUCAAGCAUGCAUUGCACCAUCUUAAGAUUGCUGAUAGAAGGAGAAGUCAAUUCAAGGACUACGCCAAAGAUAUUUUAUAAUUUUAAUGUACUUUACUUAAUAUAAAAGAUAUUUUUAUUGUGUAAAAAAUUGUAUAUUAAAAUUUAAGAAAUUACAAUUUCAUUCCAAA